rnacentral:rRNA from 1 species
UACGUAGGUGGCAAGCGUUGUCCGGAAUUAUCGGGCGUAAAGCGCGCGCAGGCGGUCCUUUAAGUCUGAUGUGAAAGCCCACGGCUCAACCGUGGAGGGUCGUUGGAAACUGGGGGACUUGAGUGCAGAAGAGGAAAGCGGAAUUCCACGUGUAGCGGUGAAAUGCGUAGAGAUGUGGAGGAACACCAGUGGCGAAGGCGGCUUUCUGGUCUGUAACUGACGCUGAGGCGCGAAAGCGUGGGGAGCAAACAGG